AAGAAUGUGUACAGUGUAUCCUGGAGACAAGGUAUGCCAGAGGCAGGACCAAUUCAAACAACGCUGCAGAACUCCAGGGCUGACUUGAGGCCUAUAAGGCAAUGUAAGGAUACAGCACGCUUCCAUUUAGGAGAGAGACAAGACAGUUAAAGCAUGCUGGCUAUGCAAAAUACACACAAAACUUUUCCAAGGAAGCACACUGGUGAUAGAACUAAGGGAGAAAAAAUGCUUGACUUGAAGAACUAUUGAUGGCUUUUCACCUAAGAGAUUUGGAUCAGAUAAUCAAAAUAUAUUACAUGGAAAUGAUCACAGAAGCCAACAGCAGAGAGAGGCCGAUUUCACGUAUAGACAGUACAUACGCGAAGCAUCGCCCUAAAGUUCACAAAAGAGGAGUGAGUUACUUUGCAGGCCUGCAAUCCCUUCUGGAGAAGUAAAUAAUGAAAUAACAUGACAAACCCCUGGCCUACUCCAGUUCAGUGGGAAAGGGUAAAUAGAAGAAGUGGAGAGAAAACACAGUUUUCCAUUGGGCAAGAAACAAAAAAUGAAAAUGAACAAUGAA